rnacentral:lncRNA from 1 species
CCUUGUCAUGCCAUUAGAAAGGGCUAAACUACAUUAAUAAGCAAAAAGUUGACAAGAAGGAGCAGAUGAAUGGCCUGGCCAUGGAUUGCUUCUCGGAACCGCUGCCCGAUGCUGCCAUGGAGCAGGAUGUUACUGGGCAUCCAUCGGUGUAAUGCCAUUACGAGGGAAUUAAAUCUUCAGACUGCAGUGAUGACCCUAAAUUAGGUGAUAGAUUUUGUUAAGUGAUCCCGCAGAACAGCUCUGCAGAGAAAUGAUUGAGAAGUUAAUCUGUUCCGCUGAGAUGAGAAGUGUAUCUUUGUCCUUGGGAAGCUGCAGUCUGUCCAGGCAGUGACCUUCUUGGAGCCGUACCAUUUCUCAGGUAGUACGUGGACACUUUCCCUGUGGAUGAGAAGCAGCAAGUGUUGAAGCUGGCAGUAGGAUAAGGGAGCACGUACAGCCUGUCUGGUGC